rnacentral:rRNA from 1 species
AUUGAACGCUGGCGGCAUGCUUUACACAUGCAAGUCGAACGGUAACAGGCCGCAAGGUGCUGACGAGUGGCGAACGGGUGAGUAAUGCAUCGGAACGUGCCCAGUCGUGGGGGAUAACUACUCGAAAGAGUAGCUAAUACCGCAUACGAUCUAUGGAUGAAAGCGGGGGACCGUAAGGCCUCGCGCGAUUGGAGCGGCCGAUGUCAGAUUAGGUAGUUGGUGGGGUAAAGGCUCACCAAGCCAACGAUCUGUAGCUGGUCUGAGAGGACAACCAGCCACACUGGGACUGAGACACGGCCCAGACUCCUACGGGAGGCAGCAGUGGGGAAUUUUGGACAAUGGGCACAAGCCUGAUCCAGCAAUGCCGCGUGCAGGAAGAAGGCCUUCGGGUUGUAAACUGCUUUUGUACGGAACGAAACGGCUCUGGUUAAUACCCGGGGCUAAUGACGGUACCGUAAGAAUAAGCACCGGCUAACUACGUG